GUCUGAAUUUUCCUCAGAAAAACGUCCUUGGCUCACAGUCUCAAACAGCUCAGCCAGAGAAGAGAGAUCACUGCCACAGUCUGCCACCCCUGGCUCUGCCCAGAUACAGGGACAAAUAGCACAAGCUGGGGUGUACAAUAGGCCUUGCCUGCAUAGACUGAAGUACUUCCUACGGCCUCCAGUACAUCAUCUCUUCUUCCAGACGUUAAUACCGGAUAAAGACACACGAGAGGUAAGCUAGCACACUCGCCCCCUUGGGGACUGAGUCUUCAAUGACGUUACAGUGACUAGAGUAACGGGCCAAAGAUAAACAAUUUUUUUUUAUCUUUUCCCAACUUGAUGGGGGGAACUAGAACUGUAUUCAGAUCUCGGCCCACACCUAAAACCCUGUACAACCAGGGCACUAAAUGAGGUGAUGUGUAUGAA
rnacentral:lncRNA from 1 species